AUCGAGUGCGCGCAAGCGCAACGACGCGCAACGCUGCGCUGUUCUGUGUUGCGCAGUCGCCACGGCGACCGUCAAGGACGUUCGCGCUCGGUGCGCCGCACCAAGCAUCCGACAGAGACAGAGAGCAACAGUUAGGAAUUACUCGAAUAGUUCGGGAUAUUUGUGUAAAAAUAAUUAUAUACUCGGUUGCAUUCUUUUUCGUCGAAAUAAUUCGAAAAGCUAGCCGAACGAUCCCACGUUUCCUCGUAAAAUGGUAAAUAGUUUCCAAGUAUAUGUGUAUUAUGUAAAACAGCCAAUGAGGUAAUUGAUCGACCGUAUGUUAGAGAAAUAGCGAUCGAAAUGAUCGAUACGUGUCUUCGAUUUCAUCAAAGGGAUAUUACGUAAACAUCUGGGAAAGAAGCGGUGUGACUAUGUUUUAGGAAGUAGAUAGCUGUGAAAGUUUUAGACCUUUCCCUGGGUUAUGUCCAUAGUGAUCGAUGUCGUUACAUCUGCCUAUGCGAAUAUACUCCGCAAUGUGUAAUAUACCGAUGUAUAAGUUAAUAAGUCGCGUUAUUCGCGGUAUCUGCAACGAAACAAAAACUUGUAGUAUCUCUUGGAAACAACUGUUAACCUUUCACAAGUUCCUAACCUUAAAUACCCUUCACGCGUUCUAUUCAAAAAUUCUCAAUAUGGUUUCUUGAUAGAGCAACAACACCAAAAAGGAGGGAUAUAAAGAUCGACGCGUAGGAGAGAGAGGAUGUGGCCAGAAUACUACAAGUGUAUACACGAGCGACAAAGAGAGCAAGUAUUAUCGAAUAAGCGGGUGUAAGAGAGAAACGAAGAGACAGAGAAAGCGAGGGUUGCCGGACAGAGACUAGACGCUAGGCCAGCGACUGAGAGAACGAGUAACGAGCGAGAAGGCGAAUGGUCGUACGUAGGUUAAAAGAAGACAGAUAGAGAGUGAAAGAGUGCCUUCUGUCUGCCGCACCCGCGAAUCGACGAAUUCGAGCCACUCGAUCGGCCUCGAGCGGCCUUGGAUGUAUCGCGGCCGGAGUGCAGGGCGGAGCGAGAUUGCUGCUCGCUUUCCAGGGUAUUUCCAUGGUACCUCUUGGAACAAGUUUCCAUCUCUUAACCAAAUGAGUCGAGCGUUUUCGCCAAUGAACGAUUGCCUCCCUCGCAUAUGGUAAUCAUACAUCACAUUGGAUAGCGAUAGAACCGAAGUUGAAGUUUCUUAUAGAGUUGUAUGUAAUUCGAUGGAUUGUUUCUACAUUUGUAGAUGUGGUUUUGACGUUGAUUUUGGGAAACAUGGAAAAUAUAGAAGAAAAUAUGGAAAGUGAUAUCUGAAACCCGUAGAUGCGGUGAAGGAUGCUCGGCGCUCGGCGGCCUUGAGGAAUUAAUUGAUUUUGGCCAGACCUAUAGCUUCUUCAACUUGAACGUACUAAAUUAACAAUAUAUUGCGCUGUAAACGUCAAAUUAAAAAUAUCCUAUAAAAAUACAAAAA